CCGCGAAUAAUUACUCUAGGAAAAGAGGAGCAUGACCAACCAGCACAGAGAUAAGUGUUGGGCUUCUGUCUGUCCUUUUUGAUCUAAGGAAAUAGACUUUUUAGAAUGCUGUUGGGACGUCCCACAUGACAACUUGUCAUUUGGGUAAACUUUCCCACUGCACACAGAAAAACAUUUCUUCCAUCUCUUUGGUUUUAUUUUUAUACAUCUUUUCAGAGCAGCCCAUGUUUCAAUGCUUUUCACAUAGAUUUUUUUUUUUUUUUUUUUCCGUUUGUUCCUUUAACUGCGAGAUCUCAGACGGAGGCGAAUUCACUUUUGUCGUCAUGACCCCUCGUGCCGACAUUAGAUAGCUUUCAGGAGAUCGGAUAUUGAAAAAAUUUCUCAUGGAGGAACGGGUAUUCCGUGAAUGUCUUUUUAUUCAGAAGAGAAAGGCCUGCAUCCCAGGCUUGCAGGAGUUCACAACCCCACAGGAGGCUCCGAGAACUUCUUGAACUGAAACCUGCCGGCUGCCAAGGAGACCAUUCCAAAUGCGGCUCCCCCCACCCUGGGGCUGGAACAGCCCUGCUCCCCAGGAGAGCCCCCAAACUUCUCCCUUUGGACCCAGGAGCCUGGUGGAGGUAAAGGUGAGGGAGCGGAGAGGAAGCUGUGUUUUUCAUUUUUGAGUAAAGCCACUUCCGUGGGAGGGCUCUUGGCUCUGAGUUAGCCAGGAUUGCCAAAUGCCUUUAGGUCUUGUCUCCCAGGACUUCAGGGUAGGGACCGCUGAAAUCAGGGUUGUCUGUUUCCUGGGAUGGUUCGAUUUCAGGCUCCUGGGCUGGGGAGUGUCUGUUACCUGGGUCGGGCGUUGGAGCAGCUCGGUGGGCUGGGCCAGGCCGAGCACCUGCCCCAGGGUGGCCCAACACGCCCACGACAAAUUCAGGCCUCUCAAGUACGAAAUGAGAUGUGUGCACACACAGUGACCUUUAAUUGUGUCUUAGAAACUCAUGUCAGAUCAACAUGUGGUUUCACUUACUCAGGAGAGGUGAUUACAUUUCAAGCUGUUUUGUGUUAGUUUUCGGCAUUUAAAUAAAGCAUUUUCUCUGUCAUAUAUUUGAUGUGGCUCAGAGAAGCUUGCUUCUUUUUUUAUUUUUUUUUCUUUCUUCCCCCCAUAGAUUUUGUUGUUUGAUUAGUUCUUUUUGUCAAGUGAGAUCAAAGAUGGCUUUCCUUUCUUUAGGAGAGAGCUUUCUUAAAUCAACAGAAUGAAUUCCAUGGUAAAGAGAGAUUUUAUUUAAAAGAUUUUGAAAAGGGAAAAGAUUUCAGUGGGAGUAAAGAAACGAUGGUUUUAUGUCUGCAUUAUAUUUAUCUGUCAGAGAGUUCGAUGAAAGCAGAUACUAGGAGGGCCUGCCUAGCUUCAUCCGUAGAGCAUGUGACUCUUGAACUCGAAGUCGUGAGUUCGAGCCCCACCUUGGCUCUAGAGAUUACUUAAGAAAUUAAAAAAAAAAAAAAAAAGAAAAAGGAAGUAAAUACUGUGGGAUGCUGAACUUUGGAUUCAGUAUAGAAAGGCUUUUGCAGUCUUAGCUGGGAUAUUCUAGGAAAUAUCCACUUUACAUUUUGUGAUCUGGGAAUAUCGGGGAGCUACCUAUCUCCACUCCUGACUUUGCCAUCAAGUCCCUGCUGGCCUGCGGGCUUUUGCUCAUGCUGUUGUAGCCACCUGGAAUGUUCUUUCCAUGCCUCUGCGAGACACUCCUUCCUAUAUUUCGAGAGGAAACCGGACAGUUUCCAGAAAACACAUGUGUUGUAUUUACUUCUACUAAGGACCAACCAUGUUAUAUUGAAGUGAUGUGUUUACUUGUGGACCUGCCACUUCUUUGGGGCACGAAAUGUGUUCCUCACCCUUUAAAAAAUAUAUAUAUAUAUAUUUAUUUGAAUGAGAGAGAGAGAGAG